GUCAAGAUGGCCGAGUGGUUAAGGCGCUGGACUUGAAUUGACUCUCCGAGUCACCGAAAUCCAGUGGGUUCGCCCGCGUAGGUUCAAACCCUGCUCUUGACG